rnacentral:rRNA from 1 species
UGGGGAAUCUUGCGCAAUGGGCGAAAGCCUGACGCAGCCAUGCCGCGUGAAUGAUGAAGGUCUUAGGAUUGUAAAAUUCUUUCACCGGGGACGAUAAUGAUGGUAACCGGAGAAGAAGCCCCGGCUAACUUCGUGCUAGCAGCCGCGGUAAUACGAAGGGGGCUAGCGUUGCCCGGAAUUACUGGGCGUAAAGGGAGCGUAGGCGGACAUUUAGGUCAGGGGUGAAAUCCCGGGGCGCAACCACGGAAUUGCCUGUGAUACUGAGUGUCUAGAGGGCAGGAGAGGAAUGUGGAAUUCCGGGUGUAGAGGUGAAAUUCGUAGAUAUUAGGAGGAACACCAGUGGCGAAGACGACAUACUGGCUCGUUACUGACGCUGAGGAGCGAAAGCAUGGGGAGCAAACA